GCCCAGCCGUAAACUUUUACUUACAUUAAAUCGCCAGGGAACUACGAGCUAAGCUUAAAACCCAAAGGACUUGACGGUACCCCAUAUCCCCCUAGAGGAGCCUGUUCUAUAAUCGAUAAUCCACGUUUAACCUCACCAUUUCUAGUUAAUCAGCCUGUAUACCUCGUCGUCAGCUUACCACGUGAGCGCCAAUUAGUGAGCCCAAUGUUAAUUCACCUAUACGUCAGGUCAAGGUGCAGCCAAUGAAAUGGGAAGAAAUGGGCUACACUUUCUAAAUUAGAAGAGACGAAAAACUAUUUAUGAAACCUAGUUAGAAGGCGGAUUUAGCAGUAAAAGGGGGUCAGCAUACCCAUUUUAACCUGGCACUGGGGUGUGU
rnacentral:rRNA from 1 species